GUCCAGGUAGCCUAGUGGAUAUGGCAUCUGCCCGGUAAGUGGAAAACUGUGGGUUCGAUUCCCAUCCCAGGACA
rnacentral:tRNA from 1 species